GUCGGUACCGUCUAGUGGCCUAGGACAUCACCCUUUCACGGUGAAUACGCGGGUUCGAUUCCCAUUUCCCGCU
rnacentral:tRNA from 1 species